GGGGAAUAUUGCACAAUGGAGGAAACUCUGAUGCAGCAAUGCCGCGUGAGUGAAGAAGGCCCUUGGGUCGUAAAGCUCUUUUAUGGGGGAAGAUGAUGACGGUACCCCAGGAAUAAGCACCGGCUAACUACGUGCCAGCAGCCGCGGUAAUACGUAGGGUGCGAGCGUUGUUCGGAAUUACUGGGCGUAAAGGGCGCGCAGGCGGAGGUGCAAGUCGGAGGUGAAAGCCCGGGGCUCAACCCCGGAGGGUCUUUCGAAACUGCAUCUCUAGAGAGGGUCAGGGGCCGGCAGAAUUCCUGGUGUAGAGGUGAAAUUCGUAGAUAUCAGGAGGAAUACCGGUGGCGAAAGCGGCCGGCUGGGGCCACUCUGACGCUGAGGCGCGAAAGCGUGGGGAGCAAACAGG
rnacentral:rRNA from 1 species